rnacentral:rRNA from 1 species
CUACGGAGGAUGCGAGCGUUAUCCGGAUUUAUUGGGUUUAAAGGGUGCGUAGGCUGUGCGUUAAGUCAGGGGUGAAAUGCCGUCGCUCAACGACGGAGCUGCCCUUGAUACUGGCGUGCUGGAGUACGGAUGCCGUUGGAGGAAUGAGUGGUGUAGCGGUGAAAUGCUUAGAUAUCACUCAGAACACCGAUUGCGAAGGCAUCUGACGAAUCCGUCACUGACGCUGAGGCACGAAAGCGUGGGGAUAGAACAGGAUUAGAUACCCUGGUAUUCCACGCCGUAAACGAUGAUGACUAACCGUCGGCGAUAGACAGCCGGUGGCCAAGCGAAAGCGAUAAGUCAUCCACCUGGGGAGUACGUCGGCAACGAUGAAACUCAAAUGAAUUGGCGGGG